UGUGGGAGCGAGCCUGCUCGCGAUAGCGUUCUGUCAGUCACAACCAUGUUGACUGAUACGCCUCUAUCGCGAGCAGGCUCGCUCCCACA
rnacentral:misc_RNA from 1 species